rnacentral:rRNA from 1 species
GCCUAAACUGGGCGUAGCCUGACCAGCCAAGUAGCGUGCAGGACGACGGCCCUAUGGGUUGUAAACUGCUUUUAUGCGGGGAUAAAGUGGCCCACGUGUGGGCUUUUGCAGGUACCGCAUGAAUAAGGACCGGCUAAUUCCGUGCCAGCAGCCGCGGUAAUACGGAAGGUCCGGGCGUUAUCCGGAUUUAUUGGGUUUAAAGGGAGCGUAGGCCGCGCCUUAAGCGUGUUGUGAAAUCCGGGUGCUCAACAUCCGGCUUGCAGCGCGAACUGGGGCGCUUGAGUGCGCAGAAAGUAGGCGGAAUUCGUGGUGUAGCGGUGAAAUGCUUAGAUAUCACGAGGAACUCCGAUUGCGAAGGCAGCCUACUGUAGCGCUACUGACGCUGAUGCUCGAAAGCGUGGGUAUCGAACAGGAUUAGAUACCCUGGUAGUCCACGCGGUAAACGAUGGAUGCUCGUUGUCGGCCCUUUGGGUCGGUGACCAAGCGAAAGCGUUAAGCAUCCCACCUGGGGAGUACGCCGGCAACGGUGAAACUCAAGAAAAAUGGACGGA